rnacentral:lncRNA from 1 species
UUUGAUUUUGCAUUUUUUCACCAUCAUGUUAAUUUACAGUACGUGUAACCAUUUAUGGAAGAGACCGAUGAUUGUGUUUAAUAAUAAACAGAGUGGUACUUCUACCUUGGUCAAGAAUGAGGGCAUACGACAAUCUCCCUCAACCCGGCCCAUCCAAUCUUAUACUACUCACAAAGGGCAACGAUGAGGGGCAUCUCAUAUCGGAAACCACUGGAGUCUCAGACACCUAGCUAGCUAGCUCUCAUGGGUAUUUGGAAAUCAGUUGUAAAUGGUGCCUUGGAAUUCUGGCAGAGCAUUUCUAAUUGUGGUUAGUCAUUUCUACAAACACCUUUGUUGCUUAAUUGGCAGUAGAAAGAAUAUUAAACCGAAGCUUUAUAUAUACAUUUCUACAAACACCUUACUCGUCGACGGAUAAGAGGAUCGACCACUUCGCCACUCCACCACGACUGAUGAGAUCCCUCGAGUUAUCGACGACUUUAGAAAAUC